rnacentral:rRNA from 1 species
GUAGGGAAUAUUGGGCAAUGGUCGGAAGACUGACCCAGCCAUGCCGCGUGCCGGAUGAAGGCCUUCUGGGUUGUAAACGGCUUUUAUCUAGGAAGAAAAGACUCUUGCGAGAGGAACUGACGGUACUAGGUGAAUAAGCACCGGCUAACUCCGUGCCAGCAGCCGCGGUAAUACGGAGGGUGCAAGCGUUGUCCGGAUUUAUUGGGUUUAAAGGGUGCGUAGGCGGCUUAGUAAGUCCGUGGUGAAAGCCAACAGCUCAACUGUUGAACUGCCAUGGAUACUGCUAGGCUUGAGUACAGACGAGGUAGGCGGAAUGGAUAGUGUAGCGGUGAAAUGCAUAGAUACUAUCCAGAACACCGAUUGCGAAGGCAGCUUACUAGGCUGUAACUGACGCUGAGGCACGAAAGCGUGGGGAGCGAACAGGAUUAGAUACCCUAGUAGUCC